rnacentral:snRNA from 1 species
AGCUUUUUAUAGUGGCAGGAACAUAGCCAAUGAGGUUUAUCCAAGGCGUGAUUAUUGAUAAUUGAAAACUUUUCCCAUGU